UCAAAGGCCUUACUAAAGGCCAAUUUUGUUUAAUAGUUUUAUU
rfam:Mesitornis unicolor contig92375, whole genome shotgun sequence.